AUGGCGGCCAUCUUGGGAAUGGGAGCUCCCGUGCUACUGGCCGCUGCCUUGGGGGCGGCCUGCGGGCUCCUGUUCUGGCUCCGGGUGGCCCGGAGGAGGCCGGCCGACGAUCCGAUGCGUGGCAUCCCGGGGAACAUGGGGUGGCCGGUGGUGGGCGAGACCUUCGCCUUCAUCGCCGCCUUCUCCAACCCGGCCGGCAUCCUGAGCUUCAUGCGGGAGCGGCAGGCGAGGUACGGCAAGGUGUUCAAGACGUACGUGCUGGGGCGGACGACGGUGUUCAUGACGGGGCGGGAGGCAGCCAAGAUCCUGCUCUCCGGCAAGGACGGCGUGGUGAGCCUCAACCUCUUCUACACCGGCAAGCAGGUGCUGGGCCCCACCAGCCUGCUCACCACCAACGGCGACGAGCACCGGCGGCUGCGCCGGCUCAUCGCGCAGCCCCUCUCCGUGGACGCUUUACGGAAGCACUUCGCCUUCAUCGACGGCCUCGCCGUGCAGAUCCUCGGCUCCUGGGCCGGCCGCGGCCGCGUGCUCGUCCUCGACGAGGCCUCGCAGUUCACGCUCAAGGUCAUCGCCAACAUGCUCGUCAGCCUGGAGCCGGAGGGCCCCGAGCAGGAGGAGUUCCGGGCCAACUUCAAGGCCAUCUCCUCCUCCUUCGCGUCGCUGCCGCUCAAGCUCCCCGGCACGGCCUUCCACCGCGGCCUCGGCGGCCGGAACCGGAUGUACGCCAUGCUGGACGAGGUGAUCGCGCGCCGCAGGGCCGGCGAGGUCCGCGAGGACUUCCUCCAGACGCUGCUCAUGAAGCACGCCCGCGGCCAGCAAGCCGGCGCCGCCGCGGCGUCGGACCCGGCGGAGGAGGAGAAGCUGACGGACGCGCAGCUCAAGGACAACAUCCUGACCCUGCUGGUGGCCGGCCACGACACCACCACGGCGGGCCUGACCUGGCUCGUCAAGUUCCUCGGCGAGAACCCCGACGUGCUAGCCAAGCUGAGGGAGGAGCACAUGGCGAUCCGGGCGGCGCACGACGGCGACGACACACAGCACCUGUGGUGGUCGGACCUGAGCAGCAUGCCGUACACGACCAAGGUGAUGAACGAGACGCUGCGGCGGGCCACCAUCCUGCCGUGGUACUCGCGCAAGGCCGCGCAGGACUUCAGCAUCGACGGCUUCGAGGUGGCCAAGGGCGCGUCGGUGAACCUGGACGUCGUGUCCAUCCACCACGACGCCGCCGUCUUCGCCGACCCCGAGCGCUUCGACCCAGACAGAUUCGAUGGGUCGCUGAAGCCGUACAGCUUCCUGGGGUUCGGCAGCGGGCCGCGGAUGUGCCCCGGGAUGAGCCUCGCCAAGCUCGAGAUCUUCGUCUUCGCCCACCACCUAGUCUGCACAUACGACUGGAAGGCGCUGGAGGAUGACGCCUCGGUGCAGCCGACGCUGGUGCGCAUGCCCAAGAACAAGUACCCCAUCCUCGCCACCGCGCUCCCCUGA
rnacentral:rRNA from 1 species